UCAGAAACCCUAAAACAUCUACUUGUCCUAUUUCCUUCACUUCAGUCGUUCCUCUUCUUUCCCCUUCCUUUCUGCUUCAUCUUCAUUGUCUGCACUUUACUCCAGCGUCACACCCCAUUGUAUUCACUCAAUACCAAUUUUAAAUGCAUCUCUUGUUUCCUAAAUCUCUUAGGACAUAAGAACAAACAUGACACCAAAUAUUAUGUGUAAGCUUCAAUUAUUGUUUCGUCGAAUUGCUCAUUGUUUGUAAGCUGCUGUUAUUAUGUUUUUAUUAUUAUAUGGAUCAUAGAACAACACUAAUUUCUUAUCUUUGUAGGCAACAUUGAUUUCAAUAUUUACUUUGUGGAUUGACGUGGCUUGCAGUAUGUGUAUGUUUUACAACAACAAGUGGGGUCUGGGUAGGGUAGUAUGUACGCCACUUAGUGGGGUCUGGGGAGGGGAGUAUGUACGCAGACCUUACCCCUAACCUUGGGUACAGAGGCGGUUUCCAAAUAGACCCCGGCAUCCUUUCCUCCGAGAACUUCCCACCUUGGUUUUGGGAAGACUCGAACUCACAACCUCUCGGUUGGAAGUGAGGGUUGCUUGCCAUCAGAGCAACCCCUCUUG
rnacentral:lncRNA from 1 species